rnacentral:tRNA from 1 species
GCAUUUUUAGCUCAGUGGAUAGAGCAUCGGUCUUCUAAAUCGUGGGUCGUAGGUU